GUCAUGGGGUCCGCAGAUCCUGCUCUGUGCUGAUGUCACCAGUUUUGGGGGGGGGCUGUCCAGGCCCACGGCUGCCCCAGAACUGACACCAGGAGCCCUACUCAGCCUGGGACGGGCACAGCACUGCGGCUGCCAGUCUUCCUGUCAAGGACGCGGGGACAGGCGGUUCUCCAGGGGACUUGCCUGCACCCUCCAGGCACAGCCAACUGGCCAGCGGAGUCCCUGCGGUUCCUGCAGGAAAAGGUCAUGAGAGCAAACGGAGGGCCUGGGUUUCAACUGGGGGUGUCCACCCCGGCAAGGCGACGAUACCCAGGAUCCUGAAGGCAGGGAGGACCAGGUGACGCCGGGAUCCUGGGGCUCCAGGGCCAGACCCUGACCCACCGCACUGCCCACUGGCCGUUUCUUGCUUUCUACCCAAUGCGGAGUCAGCAAUUUCUCUGCUGUUCUCAUUCACUGCAAAUCUGAUUAAGGAUCAGAACCCGUCUUUCUGCAUGUGAUCUUGAGCCUCGCAAAUGGAAGAUACUUAGCAAUCAUCUGGUGCAAGCCCCAGGCUCAGAGCUGAGGACAGGGAGGCCCAGAGAUUACCGACUUGCCCAAGGACACCGGAGGCUCAAGGCAGACCUGGGAGCCCCCGGGAGAUGUCUGGACCUGGCACGAGGGACAAGGAUGGAAUCGUCAGCCCUGGACCCAUGGGGCGCCCCAACUCAGGUGAAACAGGACAAGGUUCCCGAAGGCCAACCGUGGCUGCUCUCCCAAGGCCUUCCUUCCAGGCUAGUGGAGAAACACAGCUCCAGCGAAGAAGUCCGGAAAAAGGCUGAUUGGAUGCAUAAGCCACAGGACAACUUUAGGAACUAGAAAAUAAAUAGAACUUAAGACUACGUUUGGUUAAAAUG
rnacentral:lncRNA from 1 species